CCUACGGGUGGCAGCAGUGGGGAAUAUUGGGCAAUGGGCGAAAGCCUGACCCAGCAAUGCCGCGUGAAUGAAGAAGGUCUUAGGAUUGUAAAAUUCUGUUCUAUGGGAAGAAAAAAAUGACGGUACCAUAGGAGGAAGCACCGGCUAACUACGUGCCAGCAGCCGCGGUCAUACGUAGGGGGCGAGCGUUGUCCGGAUUUACUGGGUGUAAAGGGCGUGUAGCCGGGUUGACAAGUCAGAUGUGAAAUCCUGCGGCUUAACCGCAGAACUGCAUUUGAAACUGUUGAUCUUGAGUACUGGAGGGGCAGACGGAAUUCCUAGUGUAGCGGUGAAAUGCGUAGAUAUUAGGAGGAACACCAGUGGCGAAGGCGGUCUGCUGGACAGCAACUGACGGUGAGGCGCGAAAGCGUGGGGAGCAAACAGGAUUAGAUACCCGAGUAGUC
rnacentral:rRNA from 1 species